rnacentral:rRNA from 1 species
UACGAACCGUACGAACGUUAUUCGGAAUCAUUGGGCUUAAAGGGUACGUAGGCGGUGCUGUAAGUCGGGUGUGAAAUCCCUCGGCUCAACCGAGGAAUUGCGCCCGAUACUGCAGUGCUUGAGGGAGACAGGGGUAAGCGGAACUGAUGGUGGAGCGGUGAAAUGCGUUGAUAUCAUCAGGAACACCAGUGGCGAAAGCGGCUUACUGGGUCUCUUCUGACGCUGAGGUACGAAAGCUAGGGUAGCGAACGGGAUUAGAUACCCCCGUA